ACAAGUCCCACCUAUUCCCAUCCAGCCCCCAGAUGCAGGGACCUCAUCAGAAGCUGUCUCUUCUUUGGGAGUCACAACAUUGGUUGACUGUACUCUUAUUUCCCUCACUCUCUGUUAUUUACCUGUUGGGAUUUAAAAUAGUCAUCUCCUAUGUUAACUCUCUUCUCUUUCCCCCAACUUUGAGCAGCUGUGAAAGAUGGGGCCAAGCAGACGUGAAAACUGAAGCUGUACUCAGGCCAUUUUCCUUCUGGGGAAUCUUAACACCAAGCUGCACCUAACAAUUGUUCUACCCAAGCAACACUGCAAGAAAGCAGACAUGAGGAGGAUAGAGGCACAGGAGGUUAAUGGAAGGCCCUCACUGAAAGCCCUGGCCCACAGAAUGUGCCUCCCAAACUGUGUGAGGCCUGCGAGCGUUCUGUGUACAAGAGACCAGCCCUGUCUCAGGUACCAAGCGGAAAUAGUCAAUAGCCCAUCAACCGACAGGGGCAGCCUGGGGCACCUGCUGAUUCUUGCAGUGAUGAUCUGUGUUACUUAACUUGACAUCAGUGUGGGGAUAUUCU
rnacentral:lncRNA from 1 species